rnacentral:rRNA from 1 species
CCUACGGGUGGCAGCAGUGGGGGAUAUUGCACAAUGGGGGGAACCCUGAUGCAGCGACGCCGCGUGGGUGAAGAAGCGCCUCGGCGCGUAAAGCCCUGUCAGCAGGGAAGAAAAUGACGGUACCUGAAGAGGAAGCCCCGCCUAAAUCCGUGCCAGGAGCUGCGGUAAUACGUAGGGGGCAAGCGUUUUCCGGAUUUACGGGGUGUAAGGGGGGCGCAGAGGGCGAUGCACGCCAGGAGUGAAAGCCCGGGGCCCAACCCCGGGACUGCUGUUGGAACUGCGUGGCUGGAGUGCAGGAGGGGCAGGCGGAAUUCCUGGUGUAGCGGUGAAAUGCGUAGAUAUCAGGAGGAACACCGGUGGCGAAGGCGGCCUGCUGGACUGCAACUGACGUUGAGGCCCGAAAGCGUGGGGAGCAAACAGGAUUAGAUACCCCAGUAGUC